AGAGAGGGCUGAAAAAAAAAGUGAGAAACUGGAUCAACAGACUCUGGAACAGAUAAAAUAUGAAGAGAAAAAUGUACUCAAGUGUGAUCUAGAACUUUUCAGCAUAUCUAAUCAAGAACUGACAAAAACUAGGAAGAUGGUGACAGUCAAUGGAAAAUACCAAUCACUGAGUACGUCCUCUGAUACAGCCAAUAUCAUCAGUGGCAUGAAUGUAUUAACUCACUCAAUCUUUACCAUAAUCCUGGAAGGUUACAGUUCAUCAAUGAAAGAAGCCAAGGCAAGAACCUGGAGGCAGAAACCGAAACAGAGGCCCCAGACAACUCUGCUUACUGACUGAUCCAUCUAAAUUGCUCAGCUACUUUUCUUAUACAGCCCGGGCCCACCUGAGUAGGGAUGCCACCGCCACAGUGGGCUAAACUCUCCUACAUCAAUCGGCAAUCAAGAAAAUGCCUCAGAGACUGGCCAUCAGCCAGUCUGCUAUGUUCAACUCUUCAGUUGAGGUUCCCUUUUCCUAGUGACUCUAGGUUUGUAUAAACUUGACAGCUGAAGCUGAUUAUGACACCAUUGUGGCACCAUCAUGGUGUCCAGUAGAAUUGGGGUAGCCAGUGAAUGCGGUGUCCCCCUAAACUAAGUUUGGCCUUGGGUGGACUCUUUUGUUUCCAGCCUUCUUCUCUAGUCUUUCUGUCUGUAGGUGAAUGUCCUGACAUCAUUUUACUGGAGGCAUCUCUCUUGUUUAAUCUGUGCUUCUGUUCAGUCUGCUGUCAACACAAUUUUUCUUAAUUAUAUUUCUCUUGCUUUCUCUUCUUUCCUGUAUCAGCAUAUAGUAUCCUCUGGCACAAUGCCCCAUAAGGAGUGCUUCCCCUUGAAUCUGACAUAUUCCUAAAUAUUCAUUAGAUGGGAUGUUUAUAUACAUCCCAAAAUAUGUAAGAUGGGAGGAUGCUUGCAUAGAGCUGACAGAUAUCCUCCUGCAUCCUUUAAUGUCAUCUCUGGAUGAUAUGAAUUGUCUAACAAGUCUAACAAGCAUCUAACUCUACUUUCUUAUUUAGCUUCAAUCCCAAUUCUAGCCCCACUUGACAAAGUUGAUUAAAACAACCAGUGUUAGACAAUCUUCACGCCCCAUUAACCCAGAGCACAGAACAACCCCAGGAGUUUCCAACUGCAGACAUUUCUUGGAAGAGAAUAUCCAAAUCAGUGUAUGCUCAUUGCCCUCAUAUCAGAUGGGACAGCAUUUACAGAGAACCAAUGCACAUCUUCAUGUAUCCUUUAAUGCAUCUCUAGAUGACUUAGAGUACCCAAUACAAGGUGUAGAUGCUAUUUAACAAACUAAGCUGCAGUGCCCAGAGAAUAAUAAGAAAAAAAUUCUGCACACACUUGGCACAGAUGUGAUUUUUAACAAUACGUUCAUCUUGUGUUUGAUUGAACUGUAGGAGAUAAAAUUCUUAGAAGUGAAUGUUAGAUCUCAACCCCAGGACAAAUGGCUGAGGCUCCUAUUUGACAUAUCAAAGUGGAUAUGGCCACCAGGUUUUCCCAGCAUCCCUUAGCCCCUACCUCUUACAGGGUAUGGCUGGCAUACCCCACCCUCUAUCCAAAACUUCUUCAGCCCAGGGGCUAGACUGUCCUUCCCCCAGAUGCCCUCCUUAUAUAGUCUAACCAUUUUUGGUUACCUGACCUUUCGUCUACCCUUUACUCUCCUGGCCUCUUGGCCUGGCUCACCCCUUCCCCCUACACCUCUUCUCGCACAGCUCAUGGUCAUGUCCACUCUGGACUCUCCUGGAUGUCUCUCUCUGGCUAUGUUCCCCCUCAUAUCCACAAUAAACUUUCUCUUCCACCAUC